rnacentral:rRNA from 1 species
UACAGAGGGGGCAAGCGUUGUUCGGAAUUACUGGGCGUAAAGGGCGCGUAGGCGGCCUUCUAAGUCGAACGUGAAAUCCCCGGGCUCAACCCGGGAACUGCGUCCGAUACUGGAAGGCUUGAAUCCGGGAGAGGGAUGUGGAAUUCCAGGUGUAGCGGUGAAAUGCGUAGAUAUUGGGAGGAAUACCAGUGGCGAAGGCGGACUGCCUGGCCUGUUCUUGACGCUGAGGCGCGAAAGCUGGGGGAGCAAACGGG